rnacentral:misc_RNA from 1 species
GAUGAAGAACGCAGCGAAAUGCGAUAAGUAAUGUGAAUUGCAGAAUUCAGUGAAUCAUCGAAUCUUUGAACGCACAUUGCGCCCAUUAGCAUUCUAGUGGGCAUGCCUGUUCGAGCGUCAUUUCAACCCUUAAGCCCUGUUGCUUAGCGUUGGGAGCCUACAGUACUGUAGCUCCCCAAAGUUAGUGGCGGAGUCGGUUUCACACUCUAGACGUAGUAAUUUUUUCUCGUCUGUAGUUGAGCCGGUCCCCUGCCGUAAAACACCCAAUUUAUCAAGGUUGACCUCGGAUCAGGUAGGAAUACCCGCCGAACUUAAGCAUAUCAAUAAGCGGAGGA